UAACCGAAACCGGGUAAACGGUUGACUUAACUACCGCAAUUAAUGCAGGCGGCCACCGACGAAGGUGACUAGUUAGUUAAAGUAUUUAUCGCUUGAGGAGGAGCUUGCGGCAGAUUAGCUAGUUGGUAGGGUAACGGCUUACCAAGGCUACGAUCUGUAACCGGUCUAAGAGGACGGUCGGUCACACUGACACUGAAUAACGGGUCAGACUCCUACGGGAGGCAGCAGGUCGGGUAAUUUUGGGCAAUGGGCGAAAGCCUGACCCAGCAACGCCGCGUGAAGGAUGAAGUAUUUCGGUAUGUAAACUUCGAAAGAAUAGGAAGAAUUAAUGACGGUACUAUUUAUAAGGUCCGGCUAACUACGUG
rnacentral:rRNA from 1 species